UACGUAGGGGGCAAGCGUUGUCCGGAAUUACUGGGCGUAAAGGGCGUGCAGGCGGCGAUGUAAGUCAGACGUGAAAUCUCUGGGCUUAACUUGGAGAUUGCGUUUGAAACUGGAUGGCUAGAGGAUCGGAGAGGGAAGUGGAAUUCCCAGUGUAGCGGUGAAAUGCGUAGAUAUUGGGAGGAACACCGGUGGCGAAGGCGGCUGCCUGGACGACACCUGACGCUGAGGCGCGAAAGCUAGGGGAGCAAACGGG
rnacentral:rRNA from 1 species